rnacentral:tRNA from 2 species
AUUGAUUUGGCAGAUUAGUGUAUUAAAUUUAGAAUUUAAAAAUGUAAUUAAAUUUACAUUCAAUA